AAAAAAGUAUUUAAAUUUUGAAAUAUGUACUGCCAAUCAGCCCUGAAAGUUAAAAUAUGAGGUCCAUUCAACGAACUGUCAAUACUGAUUCAAUCGGGUCCAUUUAUAUAGGCAACUCAAAUUACACGGCCUGUCAAAUUCUCCAGCACCUUGUCUGUCUCUCUCUAGAACCUCUCUCUUGUAUGUUGGUGGCAAUCUCGCUUCACUAUUUGAAUGGGACAGGGCCAUUCCAUCCGUAUUGACAGUUCAUUGGUGUAAAAGAUAAAUCUUAUUCUAUCUGUUCUUAAUGAGUUUUAGAUAAUUUUAGUUGUAUUUCUUUGUAAUUUUGUGUUGUUCAAAGAUUAAUUUAACAUUUUCUCUGGAAAUAUUAAUUUAGAAAGAUAAUAUGCUUCAUUGGUGUUGUGUUUUGAAGUGUGAAAUGCAAAGUAAUUGUGAUAAAGUCAAGAUAAAGUUCACUUUUAAACUGAACUAAAUAAGGUAUCUGAGAGACAACAAUGGUUAAAUGCAAUACAAUGUACAGGUCUUACUAGCGAAAUGAAAAUUUUCCUGUCCUGUCUGCUGUAAUCAUUUUAUAUCUGGAAAACCAGCCGACUUAAUCGAUAAUAACAAUCUCCAGAUUGGGUUCCUUCAAUAAAUAUGGUCUAUAAACACAAUGAAAUAAGUUCCCCAAAAUCUAAAAUGGAGUGGUAUCAAAGGAGAAUUAAAGGGAAAAAUAUUCAUAUUGAAAUUAUUUAUAAGGCACUGGACUGUCUUAAAUUCUACAAUAAUACUAGAAUCAGCUGAGAGAAGUGGUCUACAAAAAACCAGGAAGGAAACGGAAUAUGUGGCUACGAAAGGCAAAAGAAAGGUUUACAAAGCAAAUGUGACACAUUUUUUUGAAAUAUUUAGGAAUAUUAGUAAAUUGCAUUAAAAAAAUGUAUGAAAAGAUUUUGUUCAAUAAAAAUGUUUAUAUUUAUCAAA